UGGGGAAUUUUGGACAAUGGGCGAAAGCCUGAUCCAGCAAUGCCGCGUGUGUGAAGAAGGCCUUCGGGUUGUAAAGCACUUUUGUCCGGAAAGAAAUCCUUGGCUCUAAUACAGUCGGGGGAUGACGGUACCGGAAGAAUAAGCACCGGCUAACUACGUGCCAGCAGCCGCGGUAAUACGUAGGGUGCAAGCGUUAAUCGGAAUUACUGGGCGUAAAGCGUGCGCAGGCGGUUUGCUAAGACCGAUGUGAAAUCCCCGGGCUCAACCUGGGAACUGCAUUGGUGACUGGCAGGCUAGAGUAUGGCAGAGGGGGGUAGAAUUCCACGUGUAGCAGUGAAAAUGCGUAGAGAUGUGGAGGAAUACCGAUGGCGAAGGCAGCCCCCUGGGCAAUACUGACGCUCAUGCACGAAAAGCGUGGGGAGCAAAACAGGAUUAGAUACCCUGGUAGUCCACGCCCUAAAACGAUGUCAACUAGUUGUUGGGGAUUCAUUUCCUUAGUAACGUAGCUAACGCGUGAAGUUGACCGCCUGGGGAGUACGGUCGCAAAGAUUAAAAACUUAAAGGAAUUGACGGGGUCAUAGCUGUUUCCU
rnacentral:rRNA from 1 species